rnacentral:lncRNA from 1 species
CACUAGUCGCCAGUAGUAACCCUCAUCCCAGUAGUGAAAAGCAACCUGUGACUUCAGACAUUGCCAAAUGUACCCUUGUGGGCAAAAUCCUUUCCCUCUCCAAUUUAGAACCACCACUAUAAAAGAUAAGGACUUUUAAAAGAUCAAAGCACAAUACCACUUUCAUACAAACAAUAUUAACAGCAAUUCCUUAAUAUCAUAAAGUAUUUGGUCAGUGUUCAAAUUGUCCUUAUUGUUUCAUAAGAUUGUUUUACAGUUAUUUCAAAUCAGGUUCCAAAUAAGUUGCACAUAUUGCAAUUUGCUGAUAUGUCCCAUAAGUCUCAUUUAAUUUUUAAGUUCCCUCUCUCUCUCUUUUCUUUGCAAUGGAUUCCAAUUGGUUGAUUUGUGUUUCUUAAUUUGUAGCAAUUCCCCCUCUCUCUUUAUUUUUUUUCUUCUAUUUAUUUGUGGAAGAGCCUAGGUCUUUUGUCCUUUAGAUUUCCCCACAGUCUGGAUUUUGAUAACUGCAUCCCUGUGCUUUUAUUUAACAUAUUCCUCUGGCACCAGUGUUUCUUAUAACUGGUGGAUAUAGAAACCUGAUCAUAUUCAUGUUUGAGUUUUUGGCAAGAAUACUUCAUAGGUAAUGUUGAACACUCAUCAAUUUUAACAUUACAGAGAAAGAGAGAACUGACUCUCAGUGCCUACUGAUGGGAUGCAAAAGGAAGUUCACAAGUACACAGCACCACCUAUGAUAUCUUUUUCCCAAAAAUAAAAAAUGAACCCGAAUCCAAGCAAAACCUAGAUUUAACUACCAGUUACAGGAAACACAGGGAUGGAACAUGCUAAAUAACAUCAUGGGAUAUAAUUAGUCAAAUUCAGAACAUAGGAAAUUCUAUAGGACAAAUGACCCAGUUUUUCCCGUAAACAAACAGGAAAAAAUAUAGAAGCAUAAGAAAAUUUUAUAGAUCACAAAUGAUACAGCAACUGUUUCUGGCUACAAACAUGGGUUCUUUACCUGCCACGCAAGAGGGGCCAAACAAAAACUGGAACACCAGGCUUAUGGCAAGGAAAGUGUUUUUAAUUUGGGUGAUGUCAGCUGGGAGAUGAAAGUGAGCCCUCAAAUGUGGCCCAUCUCAUCUUGUCUCCCCAAAAGAUGGGAAGCCAGGGGUUUUAAAGGUUUGUGAG